UACGUAGGGUGCAAGCGUUAAUCGGAAUUACUGGGCGUAAAGCGUGCGCAGGCGGUUUGGUAAGUCCGCUGUGAAAUCCCCGAGCUCAACUUGGGAAUUGCAGUGGAUACUGGCAAGCUGGAGUACGGUAGAGGAAGGUGGAAUUCCCGGUGUAGCAGUGAAAUGCGUAGAGAUCGGGAGGAACACCAGUGGCGAAGGCGGCCUUCUGGACCAGUACUGACGCUCAUGCACGAAAGCGUGGGGAGCAAACAGG
rnacentral:rRNA from 1 species